UACAGAGGGUGCAAGCGUUAAUCGGAAUUACUGGGCGUAAAGCGCGCGUAGGCGGCUGUCUAAGUCGGGUGUGAAAGCCCCGGGCUCAACCUGGGAACUGCAUUCGAUACUGGACGGCUAGAGUAUGAGAGAGGGAGGUAGAAUUCCACGUGUAGCGGUGAAAUGCGUAGAUAUGUGGAGGAAUACCGGUGGCGAAGGCGGGUCUCUGGGCCGAUACUGACGCUGAGGAGCGAAAGCGUGGGGAGCGAACAGG
rnacentral:rRNA from 1 species